rnacentral:rRNA from 1 species
UACAGAGGUCCCAAGCGUUGUUCGGAUUCAUUGGGCGUAAAGGGUGCGUAGGUGGCGUGGUAAGUCGGGUGUGAAAUCCCGGGGGCUCAACCCCCGGGACUGCAUUCGAUACUGCCAUGCUUGAGGACUGGAGAGGAGACUGGAAUUUACGGUGUAGCGGUGAAAUGCGCAGAUAUCAGGAAGAACACCCGUGGCUAAGGCGGCUCUCUAGUACGGUACUGACGCUGAGACGCGAAAGCGUGGGGAGCGAACAGG